rnacentral:rRNA from 1 species
UUUAGCCUACGGGGGGCAGCAGUGGGGAAUAUUGGGCAAUGGGCGCAAGCCUGACCCAGCAACGCCGCGUGAAGGAAGAAGGCUUUCGGGUUGUAAACUUCUUUUAAGAGGGAAGAGUAGAAGACGGUACCUCUUGAAUAAGCCACGGCUAACUACGUGCCAGCAGCCGCGGUAAUACGUAGGUGGCAAGCGUUGUCCGGAUUUACUGGGUGUAAAGGGCGUGUAGCCGGGUUGACAAGUCAGAUGUGAAAUCCUGCGGCUUACCCGCAGAACUGCAUUUGAAACUGUUGAUCUUGAGUACUGGG